UACGGAGGGUGCUAGCGUUGUUCGGAAUUACUGGACGUAAAGGGCGCGUAGGCGGCCGUUUGCGUCGGAUGUGAAAGCCCGGGGCUCAACCUCGGAACGGCAUUCGAUACGGGACGGCUGGAGACCGGGAGAGGAGAGUGGAAUAGCCAGUGUAGAGGUGAAAUUCGUAGAUAUUGGCUGGAACACCGGUGGCGAAAGCGGCUCUCUGGCCCCGGUUCUGACGCUGAGGCGCGAAAGCGUGGGGAGCAAACAGG
rnacentral:rRNA from 1 species